UAAUCUUAUACUAUGAUUUGAAUGCUUUGAUUUUAAAGGCAAUAUUUUCUCCUCUAUGUAUCAUGUUUUGAAUAGAUGUGAACUAAAAUUAUCUUAAAAUUCAACAUGAUAUCUUAGCUUCCCCAGAUCAAAUAUACAACUAAAAAACUUAAAUUGAAAGAAGCUUAAUUAUCUAUGGAUGGUUUUAAUUGUAGAAACUGCAAAUGAAACUAAUCUUGACAUUGCCCCCAUAAGAUGCUUAAUUAUUGAAAUCUCUUCAAAAUUUGCAUGACC
rnacentral:lncRNA from 1 species